UUCACGUUUCUCUUUCUCUCUCAUUUUUUCUUUGUCACGUUUCUCUUUCUUUUUCAUUUUUUCUCUUUUUCUCUUUCUCUCUACAUAAGGUGGAGUUGUUCUUCCUCUUCCUCAAUAUUCUCCAUCUUCCUCUUCCUCAAUCUUCUCCAUAAACCUUCUUCCUCUUUCUAUCUCUCUUCCCUCUAUUUGUUAUUCUCUUUCUCUAUCAUUGAGAUGAAACUCUGAUUUCAGACUAUGUAACGAUGCACGAAAUUAGGGUUUCAAAAAUCUUAUUUAGCCUAAAAGAAGAAACACGAAAUCAAGACUUUGGAGAAAGCACUGGUAUCCCUUUUUGUAUUCUACCAUGGUCCGGUUUGAAUGUAUAUUUGGACUCAUAAGCUCGGUUUGGACUAUCUACGUUUUUUUUGUGUAGAUUCAUACUUAUUCUGUUUUAUUGAAAAACCUUUUAUCAUCUGGAAAUUGGAGGAAUUAUUUAGAGAGCGCUUCAAAGGAUAGUGCAUGAAUCUCAAUUACCAGUGGAAGAGCAUGAAGUGGUGAUGAGGAAUUUGGAGCGCAAAGAAACUGAGUACAUGCGGCUUCAAAGACGUAAAAUUGGAAUUGAUGACUUUAAGCAACUAACACUAAUUGGUAAAGGUGCUUUCGGUGAGGUAUGAAAACACAAUUAAGCAAUGGAUUAGUUUCUUGGAUGUUGUCUGGUUGUUGUGAACUUAAAGUAUGUUCAUGCAUCACUGUAAGUUGUUAGCUUUUGUGAAAAAAUGUAGGUGAGGUUAUGCCGUGGUAAAAGUACUGGAUAAAUUUUUACCAUGAAGAAAGAUGAAAAGACUCUCACCACACUAAAAUAAAAUAUAGAUUGAAAUAAAAAUAUUUUUAGAUAAUUUUUUAAUCAUGGUCUAUAUAUUAUUGUACUUUUAAUUAUAGAAAAACUGUACAUUGCUCAAUUUACAAUUAGAUCAAUUGCAUCUAGAAAAUAGUAUACUUUUUGUCUCAUUGAUAAUUUUUUCUUUUAAUAAUGUCUGAAUUCAAAUACGGAAAAAUGUACUUUUUAUAUUAUUUAUAUUUAUUUUUACAAUUUUAGAAACAUCUGCAAAUAACAUAUAAGUACCGUACGAACGCACAGGUGUCUCAUUACAAUUCUAUCAAUUCUUAAAAAAUACCUUUUUUUUUCUUUCUAUUUUUCACAAUGGUUUUUUUAUAAAUUAUGUGUUUAAUUGUUUUUCUUAACAAUAGAAAUUUUGUUUUCUUUUUUCCAAUAACAUUUAUGUAGGCAUUUAAUUUUGAUUAAAUAUUGAACAUGCUCGCAAAACUUUAUGCAUCACAUUAAGCAUGCCCAAAAUAUUCAAUCCAAACAAUUUUGGUUGGUAUUAUGAGGUGUGUCAUAAGUGUAAUAGGUCUAACAAGAAUCGUGUAUGACUUUGAAUGCAAUUGUGGUUAGCAGGAUGUUAUAAGUAAGUUCAUAUUUCAACUUUAAAACACAACACAUGUGCAUUAAUCACUCAAGGUUUAACUAAUCAUGGUUGUGUCAUUUUUUUUUGGAUAAAAAUUUGAAAUUGAGGUUGCGUACGACAAACAUUGAAUGCUUCUUAUUUUAGAAUAAAAAGUGUACCUCAAAUAUUGGGAUGACAACUUUGAAUUCUCAUAACAAAUUGGUGACAUAUCUGCGGUCCACGUCAGAACUCGUCCGGACGCAUGGGUAACACACCAAUUUAUGUGCGAACGUACGAGUAACAUAUCAGUACCGUAUAAAUGUACAGGUAACACAUCAGUACCGUGUGAACGCACGGAUAACAAAUCAGUGUCGUGCAAACACACGGGUUACUCACAAUAAUAUUUUAUUUUGAUGUUAUAUUUUAUUUAAAAUACAAUAGAUAAUCUAUGAAUAAUUGUAAUAUAUAUUAUGAAUGUCUUUCUUUUUUAAAAAACUUGAAAAAUUCAUACAGUUUUGAUUGUAUUUUAAAAAUAUGUCUUUAUUUUAAAAAUAAUAAAUUAUUCUGGUAAAAUUAUUUUAUUUUUCUAAUUUAGAAUAUAUAUAUAUAUAUAUAUAUAUAUAUAUAUAUAUAUAUAUAUAUGUGUGUGUGUGCGCGCGCGCGCGCGUGUGUGUGUUUUUAUAUUUUAAAUGUAAUACUUCUCAAUUUAAAAUUAAAUCUGAUAUUUAUCUGGUAUAUUCGGUCCAGCCCAAACCAGUACCCGUGCGAACGCACGGGUAUCCUACUAGUUGAAAAUGUGCAUAAAUGAUAACUACUUAUAGGCUUUUCCGUAAGUGUAACCAUAGGCCUCAAUUGCUAGUAUUGUAAGAGCUAUAGACGAAAAAAGUAUCCUCACAUAAUACUGAUAUGAUCUUUGGUACCCAUGGAUGUAUGAAAUCCCGUAAGGAUUAAUACUACCAGAGUCAUAGCUAAUUCAUUUAAUCGCUAUGGCUAAGAAGAUUCCUAAGAUAGGAGAAUUCCACUGAGAUAAUUUAUUCUCAUCCAUUUCAUUAUAAUAAAUAAAGGUGAUCGUUCAGCAACUAAAGGUAAAGUCAAUAUGACUUGGGGAGGUUUGCAUGAAAACUAUAUUUUAGCGUGUUUUGAUGUAUUUUCGUUGUAUUUUAUUAUGAUACUCUAAUAUUGCAUUUGUAUAGUUUGAGCAUACCUUGUAAUGUGUGCAAGACUUAUGUGUUGAUGUAAAUGUAUCAUUAUUGUUGUAUGUUUCAAACCCUUAUAACAACUUAAUUAUGUGAUUUUAGAUGCACAUUUUA